AUUUUAGUAUUCCUACCCUUUCACCCUAGUCUUGUUGGAAAGGAAAAAAACAGUGAAUUUCACCUAAGACAGAAGAAAAGAGAGAAGUUCAAGGUGUCAAAUGAUGUGGAAUAUUUAUGGAAUAUCUCUUUCAGUUCUUGUAGCAUUUACAUGGUCGUACACAGGCCAGUUAUAAAUUCCUAUGAUUACUUUGUCAGAAAACACCUGCAAAGCUGGAAGACAAGACUUUAAAAAUGCUGCCAGUCUUGCAACUUUACUGUUACUUCAGCUGAUUCAUAACAUAACAUCAGUGUUUCCAUUUCCUAAUAUUGCAUUCCUGGAGCAGAAAACAGAAGAGGGGAAAGAAAAAAGACAUAGUGAUAGAGAAGCUGAUAAUUUGAUGCGCUGACAAGCAGGAUCAACAUCCUUCUGAGGAUGAAUGAAAAGAACAUGCUGCAGAUGCUGAUGUACUUUCACUUCUGACUUGCUUACUGAUAAGCAGUGUGUAAUACCAACAUGAAAAGAUACAAAAUUACAACAUCCUUUGUUUAUCUUGGUGAUAUGUGGUAUAGAAAUGGUCAAGCCAAGAAAUUUCAUGUCACUAUCUAUCAGUCUUCUGUCUUGGAUGAGUAAGGUAUCUAGAGUAAAAUUCCCUUCUACUCUUGCUAGAAGAUCACAUAGAAAUCCAAUAGCUCAUCAUUAAGAACUGGGUGGAAUUGCCUAAAACACUGUUUCUAGUUCUCUACAUGCUAUUCAGUCUGUUAAAAGACAUUAAAUACAGAAAGGCCAUAAAAAUAUUUUCUUCUAGCCUUGAAAAACACAUGCCACAAAAUGCA